rnacentral:rRNA from 1 species
AUUGAACGCUGGCGGCAGGCCUAACACAUGCAAGUCGAACGAGUGGCGGACGGGUGAGUAAUGUCUGGGAAACUGCCUGAUGGAGGGGGAUAACUACUGGAAACGGUAGCUAAUACCGCAUACCAUCGGAUGUGCCCAGAUGGGAUUAGCUAGUAGGUGGGGUAAAGGCUCACAUAGGCGACGAUCGCUAGCUGGUCUGAGAGGAGGACCGGCCACAUGGGAACUGAGACACGGUCCAGAUCCUUAGGGGAGGCAGCAGUGGGGAAUAUUGGACAAUGGGCGAAAGCCUGAUGAAGCAAUGCCGGGUGUAUGAAGAAGGCCUUCGGGUUGUAAAGUACUUUCAGCGGGGAGGCGGUACCCGAAGAAGAAGCAACGGCUAACUCCGUGCCAGCCGCCGCGGUAAUUC